AACGAACGCUGGCGGCAGGCUUAACACAUGCAAGUCGAACGCGAAAUCACCUUCGGGUGGUGGAGAGUGGCAGACGGGUGAGUAACGCGUGGGAACCUACCUAGUGGUACGGAAUAACUCAGGGAAACUUGGGCUAAUACCGUAUGUGCCCGAAAGGGGAAAGAUUCAUCGCCACUAGAUGGGCCCGCGUCGGAUUAGCUUGUUGGUGAGGUAACGGCUCACCAAGGCGACGAUCCGUAGCUGGUCUGGGAGGAGGAUCAGCCACACUGGGACUGAGACACGGCCCAGACUCCUAGGGGAGGCAGCAGGGGGGAAUAUUGGAAAAGGGGCGCAAGCCUGAUCCAGCCAUGCCGCGUGAGUGAUGAAGGCCCUAGGGUUGUAAAGCUCUUUCGGCGGGGACGAUAAUGACGGUACCCGAAGAAGAAGCCCCGGCUAACUUCGUGCCAGCCGCCGCGGUAA
rnacentral:rRNA from 1 species